GAUGAACGCUGGCGGCGUGCCUAAUACAUGCAAGUCGAGCGAACGGACGAGAAGCUUGCUUCUCUGAUGUUAGCGGCGGACGGGUGAGUAACACGUGGAUAACCUACCUAUAAGACUGGGAUAACUUCGGGAAACCGGAGCUAAUACCGGAUAAUAUUUUGAACCGCAUGGUUCAAAAGUGAAAGACGGUCUUGCUGUCACUUAUAGAUGGAUCCGCGCUGCAUUAGCUAGUUGGUAAGGUAACGGCUUACCAAGGCAACGAUGCAUAGCCGACCUGAGAGGGUGAUCGGCCACCCUGGAACUGAGACACGGUCCCGACUCCUACGGGAGGCAGCAGUCGGGAAUCUUCCGCGAUGGGGGAAAGCCUGACGGUGCAACGCCGCGUGAGUGAUGAAGGUCUUCGGAUCGUAAAACUCUGUUAUUAGGGAAGAACAUAUGUGUAAGUAACUGUGCACAUCUUGACGGUACCUAAUCAGAAAGCCACGGCUAACUACGUG
rnacentral:rRNA from 1 species